CGCGAAUAAAGUUAGGGCCCAGAAAUGCAGCCAACCUAUGAAUUUCAAUUAUCCAGAGCUAUUAACUAAUUCAAUUGAAACGAGCCGUCGUUUAUAAAGCAAGUAUUUGACCUAUCUUUUGCAUAAAUUUACUAAUUUUUGCAGAAGAACGCUUAUUUAUGUACAUUCUUGACCGUCUUGGUUAGAAUUGGAAUCAGCAGACUGGCAGUAAAAUUUUGUGUGUUAGAAGUUGGUUAGAAGGAUGGCUGCACUUUUGGGCCCUAAGCCCUCCAUGAAGCGAUCUGUCCAUACUCUCGCUAUACAGGUACUCUACAUAAUUGUAAAUGGGAAAGAAUGUUUCACAUGAUGGAGUAGCCAUCACAUAAUUGACUUUGCGAUUGGGUCAUUUUUUAUACCAAUUAAAGAAGAACCGAGUAACAUUGCAGUAAUCCUAUUCAGUUAAGGUCAUUGAAUGUAGCCAAUUAUUCAAAUAACUAAACACAAAAAUUUACAUUCAAUUAGCGGUCCAUUAUGUCAGAUUUAUCAUUGAAUUCUUAUUGAUAGAUUCGAGCGGAGAAGUCGUUUCCCUCUGGAAGUCACACUGACCCAUUUCCAUUAGUUACAUACUCUUUCCUGUAUCGUUCGAAGUGCUCUGUGUCAUAUUUGAAGGAAUGUUUGGUAGAAAUACGUCCAUUUCAGCAAUGCAUUUAUAGAAGUUCAAUUAAAUUCCAUUACAAAAUGAAUUUCUAUAAAAUGGAUUUGUUUGGGACCAAACUGAAUAUCUGGCCUACUCUUCCUCCAUUGAAAUACGUACCCAGAAGAAUUAGUCAUUUAAAUUAUUUGUAAAUAUAAAUACCCAUCUCAGUGAUUUUCAUACGUUAAUGUAAUGCUUAAUAUUAAUCCUGUUGAAUUUUAAUAGAGAGUAGCAAUAAAUAUAUUUUUAAAGCCUUUUUUGUGCGUGAAUUUUUCUACACAGUAUCAUGACGACGAGCGGACGUAAGGUUUUUGCAAGCUUUCUAGAAUUUGAUAAAAAUUGGGCAAACUUACCGCGUCCUUGUAACCUUACAGAAGAUUGCUAAACACUCGCUUGACAAGCAAUUGUGGUAGAACUUGUUGCAAAAUUUAAAAAAAAUAAUGUUAACCUU
rnacentral:lncRNA from 1 species